GACAGAGGAUGCAAGCGUUAUUCGGAAUCAUUGGGCGUAAAGCGCGCGCAGGCGGAUCAGCAAGUCAGAUGUGAAAUCUCGAAGCUCAACUUCGAAACUGCGUCUGAAACUGCUAGUCUAGAAUGUCGGAAGGGGCAGGGGAAUUUCACGUGUAGGGGUAAAAUCCGUAGAGAUGUGAAGGAACACCGGGGGCGAAGGCGCCUGCCUGGACGACUAUUGACGCUGAGGCGCGAAAGCGUGGGGAGCAAACAGG
rnacentral:rRNA from 1 species